rnacentral:rRNA from 1 species
UACGAAGGGGGCAAGCGUUGUUCGGAAUUACUGGGCGUAAAGGGCGCGUAGGCGGCCUUCUAAGUCAGACGUGAAAUCCCCCGGCUUAACUCGGAACUGCGUCUGAUACUGGAGGGCUUGAGUGCGGGAGAGGGAUGUGGAAUUCCAGGUGUAGCGGUGAAAUGCGUAGAUAUCUGGAGGAACACCGGUGGCGAAGGCGGCAUCCUGGACCGGCAUUGACGCUGAGGCGCGAAAGCUAGGGGAGCAACGGG